rnacentral:rRNA from 1 species
UACGGAGGGUGCGAGCGUUGUUCGGAAUCACUGGGCGUAAAGGGCGCGUAGGUGGCCCGUUAAGUGGCUGGUGAAAUCCCGCGGCUCAACUGCGGGGCUGCCGGUCAUACUGGCGAGCUAGAGCACGGUAGGGGCAGAUGGAAUUCCCGGUGUAGCGGUGGAAUGCGUAGAGAUGCGGAGGAACACCGAUGGCGAAGGCAGCCUUCUGGGCCAACACUGACGCUCAUGCACGAAAGCGUGGGGAGCAAACAGG